AAAAACGAAAAAAAAAAAAAAACCCGGAAAAGUCGUGGCAUUUGAACAUGUUAUUUUCCAGGCUUGGAAAAGUCUUGUUAAAAAAAGCCUUUAAAAAAACAACGUUGUUUUCAUUCGGUCACGUGUGACAUGCGUAGAAAGGUGCAGGUUAGCUCAAGCGACAACGCGCUAACAACAGCACACAACAAUGCCGGGAAAGUUCUCCCUUAACUAUGUGUGGCUGCACACAAAGUUGUACGUUUAAAUCAUGACUAGAGAAGAAAAAGUCAAAUCCAAAUGUGUUGUAUGUUAUAACACGUUUGAUAUCUCUAAAAUCGAUGAGGCGGCAUUGACUAGCCGUGCUAAAGGAGCGAAGCACCGGGCUAUCGCGAGCUUUUUACGAUCCCAUAAGAACCCCUCAGGCGGCCUCUGGUACCGGCAGUUUGCAGCACCAAUAUCGCCACACCGUCCAUGAAACAACGGACUAUUUCAAACGUUCUCACCGGCAGUGAAGUGCUAACUCCGGAAAUUUUAUGGGAGCUAAAGUGAAUUUUCUCCCUUUAUCAAUCACAUACUUUGAAACUACUGUUUUCCUGAGUCACGCCUGGUUCUCUGGAAGCUCACAGUCACCAUGAGGAGACCUGUUACCUGGCAACACUCCAUGCUCCAGGUGUAACUUUUGUGAAGCAGCUGGUCCCAGGUGAACCAAGUGAAUGCUGCCUAGUUUAAAAAAAAAAUAUAUAUAUAUAUAUACUGUAUAUUGCUGCAGAGGAAAAAUGUGUGUGUAUACUUGAGGCAAAAAAAAAAAGUCAUUAGGGUUGGAGGGUUGGGGCUUGUGGAGCAAUAGGGUUUAGGAGAGGAAAUCACCCACAGCCAAUUUUCGUCAUCACACCUUCACACCCAGUUGAUCAGCGUUGAAAUAAUAAGCACAAUACUCUUACGUAUAAGCGAAAAAGUUAAUGCACUACACCUUUUCGAGGCAGCAGGUGUUCAUUUGCGAGUUUUUUGAAAUGUGUGUGCACAGGAUUUACAGUGGUGUAAAUCCAAUCACAAUAUGCUGCUGCUUUGUAGCACUGCACACUCAAGUUGAUUUUUAAACAAAAGUCACUGAUUUGUAUUCAAAGUCUGUGGUAACAUUUUAUCAGUGUUGCUGAGAUUUUUUCACUUAGUCAUGAGUGUUACUUGGUAAUUUCAGGGAUCAGAAACCACAGAGGCUGAUGAGGAGGGAUUUAAUUUAAUUUUUGUUUUAAUGUUAAUCAUCUUUAACAAACGGUAAUCACCCCCUUUAAUUUGUCUGUUGUCUAAUACUUCAGAUAUUAUGAAUUGUUUUAUGUUUAACUUAUAAAUAUGCCUUAAAAAUUAACUUUAUUACCAAAAAAUCUAAAACUAUGGGAUUAAGGUUGUUUGAACACUGUUUGAGACAUUUUCUUGUGCUACUGUCUUUAUUCUUGUUACUUAACUUUAUUCUCACAAAGUUCUAACUGUAUGACUAUAAUGUCAUGAUUUUUACAACCUUAAUCUGGCAAUUUCUGAUAUUUGUUUUAUUGUAAAACUGAAGAAAAAA